rnacentral:rRNA from 1 species
UACGAAGGGGGCUAGCGUUGCUCGGAAUCACUGGGCGUAAAGGGUGCGUAGGCGGGUCUUUAAGUCAGGGGUGAAAUCCUGGAGCUCAACUCCAGAACUGCCUUUGAUACUGAGGAUCUUGAGUUCGGGAGAGGUGAGUGGAACUGCGAGUGUAGAGGUGAAAUUCGUAGAUAUUCGCAAGAACACCAGUGGCGAAGGCGGCUCACUGGCCCGAUACUGACGCUGAG